AUGGAGAUAAUGUUAAUUUGUGUUUCCACAGGUGUGAACAGUAUUGAUCUCAUCCAGACAGACUCAAUGGUUGUGCAGCCUGGACAGUCUCUGACCAUCAGCUGUCAGGUCUCUGGUUAUUCUUUGACUGAUAACAGCUAUGCAACAGGUUGGAUCAGACAGAGUGAAGGAAAACCAAUGGACUGGAUUUCCUGUCAGUGGGGUGGAGGUGGCUUUUACCAAAAUAAUGCUCUGAAGAACAAGUUCAGCUACAGCAGAGACACUUCUGCUCUAACAGUGACUCUAAAAGGACAGAAUGUGCAGCCUGAGGACACAGCUGUGUAUUACUGUGAGUUUGGAGUGAGAUCAAACUGGACCAGUCUCCCUCUGAGGUGAAAAGACCUGGAGAGACAGUGAAGAUGUCAUGUAUCAUAUCUGGUUAUAGCAUGACAAGCAAUGAUAUUCACUGGAUACGACAGAGACCAGGAGAAGCUCUGGAGUGGAUUGGGAUGAUGAACACAGGUAGAAACUCUGCUAGCUAUGGCAGCUCCUUUCAAAGCCGUUUCAUCAUGACUGAAGAUGUUCCCAGCAGCACUCAGUACCUCGAGGUCCAGAGCCUGACAGCAGCAGAUUCUGCUGUUUACUU